rnacentral:tRNA from 1 species
GGGCCGGUAGAUCAACGGUAGAUCGCCACCUUGGCAUGGUGGAGGCUUCGGGUUCAAAUCCCGACCGGUCCA